GAUGAACGCUGGCGGCGUGCCUAAUACAUGCGAGUCGAGCGAACAGACGAGGAGCUUGCUCCUCUGACAUUAGCGGCGGACGGGUGAGUAACACGUGGAUAACCUACCUAUAAGACUGGGAUAACUUCGGGAAACCGGAGCUAAUACCGGAUAAUAUAUUGAACCGCAUGGUUCAAUAGUGAAAGACGGUUUUGCUGUCACUUAUAGAUGGAUCCGCGCCGCAUUAGCUAGUUGGUAAGGUAACGGCUUACCAAGGCAACGAUGCGUAGCCGACCUGAGAGGGUGAUCGGCCACACUGGAACUGAGACACGGUCCAGACUCCUACGGGAGGCAGCAGUAGGGAAUCUUCCGCAAUGGGCGAAAGCCUGACGGAGCAACGCCGCGUGAGUGAUGAAGGUCUUCGGAUCGUAAAACUCUGUUAUUAGGGAAGAACAAAUGUGUAAGUAACUAUGCACGUCUUGACGGUACCUAAUCAGAAAGCCACGGCUAACUACGUG
rnacentral:rRNA from 1 species